rnacentral:rRNA from 1 species
UACGAAGGGGGCUAGCGUUGCUCGGAAUCACUGGGCGUAAAGCGCACGUAGGCGGCUUUCUAAGUCAGGGGUGAAAUCCUGGAGCUCAACUCCAGAACUGCCUUUGAUACUGGAGAGCUUGAGUCCGGGAGAGGUGAGUGGAACUCCGAGUGUAGAGGUGAAAUUCGUAGAUAUUCGCAAGAACACCAGUGGCGGAAGGCGGCUCACUGGCCCGGUACUGACGCUGAGGUGCGAAAGCGUGGGGAGCAA